rnacentral:rRNA from 1 species
UACGAAGGGGGCUAGCGUUGCUCGGAAUUACUGGGCGUAAAGCGUGCGCAGGCGGUUUUGUAAGCCAGAUGUGAAAUCCCCGGGCUUAACCUGGGAAUGGCAUUUGGGACUGCAAGGCUCGAGUGCGGCAGAGGAGACUGGAAUUCCUGGUGUAGCAGUGAAAUGCGUAGAUAUCAGGAGGAACACCGGUGGCGAAGGCGGGUCUCUGGGCAGUAACUGACGCUGAGGAGCGAAAGCGUGGGGAGCGAACAGG